GGAUGAAACGUGACAAUUAUGACAUGAUACCAUGAGAGGCAGUGAUCUCCCUCGCCUUUAAGCUUGACCAACGCAUCCUUUCAGCAGCAAGAAUGAGUCUUCCUUAUAUGCACGUCCUUGCAAGCAAAUGACACUGGCUUCUGCCCACAACAGCAAGUGAACAAAAGCAUGUUGUUCCAGCAAGUACUUCACAAGUAGUAAGGAAAAUGAAUUCAGCAGCAAUAAAUAAAGGUGCUGUUCACAAGAAGACACUCAUAUUGCUGAUGUGCAACAUCACAUGAACGUGAGGGAAACAUCCAGACUUUAUGCAUCAAGGAUGACAGAAAGUGGAC